UUGUUGGGUUGGUGGUCUCAGUGAUAAUGAUGAUUUUGAUGAAACGUAAUAAAUGAUCUCUCUUCGAGUUGUAUGUAUUCGUCGAACUUUCCAUGCUUCCAUGUAUUACAAACUCUUGAAUUAGCAAUGGCUCUUGAAUUGCAUGACAUUAGGAGAAUUAUCUGUUUUGUCUUUUUGUGAAUUGUCGCAGUUGCUUUUUAAGUAAUUUUAUGGUGUUCAUUUUUCCCGUAGAAAUUCUUUCAUUCACUUGUUCUAGUUACACACGCUUACACAAAUAUAUGAAUGGUUUUGUUCAUUGUGUUUUUCUUCAUCUUUACAUCUUACUGUAGUAUAAAAAACAAGUGAAACAACUGUCGAACGGAGACGUUCAAAAAGAGUUAACAUAGAACAUUUUACUUUUGACAUGAGGAAAGAUUUACUAGGCACUAUUUUUUUUUUUUUUUAAAUUUCUAUUAAACAAUUGUGAUGCACAACAUUAAUUAAUUGGUGAACAAAUUUGUGGUGGAUCACGUGGAUUAACUUAAAUUUAUUGAAUUGACAGUCAUGUUAUUAUUGCUGAACUUGUACUAAAUACUAUCUUGAUAGAUUAUUUCUUUAUUUGACAUCUUUAUACGUUCUUAUCUACCAUCCUGCAAUCCUUCAUUACUAAUUAGUCACUUUCUUAAUUACAAGUUAAACUUGUUAUCUUCUAACUUUAUCUUGAAUCGAAACUUUAUCGAGAGACAAUCUUAAUGAAUUCCAUCAGGAUUUUUAACUUGGCUUGACGUUACUUUGGAGUCAGUAAGACUGUACACGACAUGACACCAUUUUGUAAAGAGAUUAAUAUUCAUAAGUGGAUUAAGUAAUAAUAGCUAAACGGAGAAAAAGUUGAUUUAUCUCAAUUUUUUUUUUAAUAUAUAUAUUCUUAUCUUCUCUCGUGUAAUCCUUCCUUACUCGUUAAGGUGUGUUGACAAGUUACGCGUGUCGUCUCCUGGUUUACAAUCGGAAUCGAAACACGCUUGAAUUCUCAGGAGACAACCGGUACAUCCGAUACACCGAUUCGAUUCAACUCUUCAAUUGGUUUAUAAUCCAAAUUAGGGCUUCAUUCAUCAUCACGUAGAAAUAAAUAUACCAAAUUAUAAUUAACUAUGGGAGGCGGAGGAGCGAUGAGGACUGCAGUGAAGGCGGCUGGGAUAACGCUGGGAAAUGUCGGCCUCCGAGGACUCACGCCAGAAAACUACCCGAUUUCAGCCGUUGCUCGAAUGGCUACAUCCGCUCCUCCAGUGACGUCGAUGGCCUCAUCGGCUGAGGACGUGAACGUUGUGGCUUUGUCACAGUCCGAGGUCGAUGUGCAGAGACGGUGCUGGGAGCUCGAUGACUGGGAGUUCGCCGGCGGUGAGGAGGAUCUGAUGGUGACGGCCGGCGAGUCUUUGCCUAGGGUUGUGUUUGGUGGCGUGCCGAGUCUUCAGGAAGCAAAAGAGGCAACUUCUCAACUCUCUGACGCUCUCGAAAAGUAUGUUAUUACUCAUUUUCGUUGAGAAAUUUGAAUUUUUGAAUGUUUUAUUGAAAUAAUUAGUAGUUUUGAAGUAAUUGUUGGAUUUAAUUUUUUUACUGUCUUAUUAACAUUUGGACAGAAUUUUUUGUUGCGUUGAAAGCACAAGUGAUCAUAUAUUUUCGGAAUUAUAUUAGUGCUCAACACUUCACUUUGUUUAUCCUUUUAAUUUUAGUAUUAUAUGAUAUGAAUGAUCCAUAAACGUUUUUUUUCCCCCUUUCUACUUUUGUAUUUGCACUAUUGAUAGCAAGGCUUGAGGAAGGGAUACGGUUUGUUCAGCUAACUAAGAUCAAGUAACAGAGUCACUAUUAGUCCAUUUGUGUGCCUUUCAAAUUAUUACCUCAAGUUGAGGACCUAGGUUCCAACUUUCCUAAUUAUUGCUUGUGAAACUCUAGCCAUGGCUAAAGAAAAGCUUGGCUCUGGCAGGAUGUGAUUCAGUCCUGCUUCUGAUUAUCUUUUUGUUUCUGCAAGCAAAUGUUCGUUUGAUAUUUUCGCUGUAAUUGUUUCUUGAAUUUUCAGGGUGUAUUUAUCUUCGCCUGAGCCCGUUGCAUAUGACGGUUUGCUUAUAGAAGAUCAUCACCCAAGCUCAUUGGUGCUUUCAGACACACAAGUAUUGGAGAAUAAAGCCCUCGUUACCGACAGGUCUACACCAGUCUCCGGAGAGCUGAUGCAUGCUAUUCAGGCAUUUAGGCUUCUAAAUGAAAGCUCUAGAGUUCAGGUUUUCCUGUUGAUAUCUCUCGUUCUAUUCUAGGAUGGUGUGCAUUUUUCUAACUGAAUAUGUAUGAAUUUGUUUUAUUUUCUUAAUGUGCACGGACAUGGAAUAUAUAAUUUGUUAAUUUAUUUUGAACUCAAAGUCGAAUACUAUCUGCAUGUUUGGAGUGGUAGUGGACAUGCACUAGUUUCAACAUUGAGCAUUCAAAGCACAUGAAAUUUUUGGGCAGCAGUAGAUACAUAUAAUUUCAUUAAUGCUAUAGCUUAGUCGGCACCAACCUUAAAUUUUUUAUUAUGAUAGCUGAAUCUAUUCUUGUGCUAGAAUGUUGUCGCUUCAAUUGUUCAUGACACAAAGGUGUGGAACGCAGUGUUAGAAAACCAAGAGCUUCAAGAGUUUCUCCAAUCACAUAAGAACAGUAAGAAAUCUUGGUUAUGUCUGUCAUUCAUCUAGUGAUUGCUAGAAAAAUAUGUAUACAUCUUUAUCGUCUUUUUAUUGGCAGGUAAUAAUCUUCCGGAUCAAUCAACUCUAAACACAGUUGACACAUCAUCCGAUUCCGGGGAAUCCACUGAUGGGAGUAAGCCUAAAGAUGUUUUCAAGAAAAUCAAGGUAACAGUGGUAGAUAUGUUAAGCAGCUUGUCUGAUUACUUUCGGAAUUUCUUUGAAGUUGAUAAAGCAUCUGCGAAUUCUAAUGGAAGUGCGAGAUUAAACUCUUUAGACACGGCUUUGGAAGCAUCCUUCAUGGGAUUGGCUGUCAUGGCCAUAAUGGUAAUUUUGAUCAAAAGAGAUUAGUUAUCAUCCUCCUUUUGCAGUGUGUGCAUGAAUUUGUCGAAGCUUGUCAUUGUGAUGCAAAUACAAGUUGUACAAUACUAUACAAUCUUACUUGUUUGUUAUUGAAUUAUACAUUGGAUAUCAUAGUGAGAAGUCUCAAUGUAGCUCGUGUGUGUUUGUUGAUGUUGCUCUUUAAGCACAAGCUGAUGGCGCUACUUUCGUAAUUAACCACUUCGAGAAAUAUUUUUCGUCUGUGAUGUAAGCAUUCAAUAAUAUUCCAUGUCAGUAUCUCCUAAAUUGGCAAAGGAUUUCUUGAGCUCUUUCACGAACUUGUGUCAAUGUUGACUCUCUACUUUGAGCUGGUUAGAUGGGCGCACUUCUUACUUGAUGGCGAAGGAUUUCUUGGACCUGUCCAGAAUGUUAUUAUUCUAUUUUAUUUUAUUUUAUGUUAUUUUUAUGGUUUUGAUUUCAUUAUUUUUUUUUUUUCAAAAUAAUCGAACGAAGCAAUAAAUGGAGAUAUUUUCAUCUCAUACGGUUCUUGUCCUUUACCCAUUUCGUCUCCCAAAAAUCUUCAUGGGGGCCGGGGAUGUUAAUGGUUGCAUUAUUUCAACCACUCUUGUUGCCAUCCCUAUUAGUAUUGUUAUAAAUAAAAAGCAAUGAUUUUAAACUUAAAUCAUUGAUCUCAAAAGAUUGUAUUUUGACUAUUGAAAUUUAAUUCGAAUUGUUUCAAAGCGAUUUGGUUUCCACAUGAACCCAAACAACCAUUUUUAUUCGAUGUUUCAAUUUAACUGCUUUUAUUCACCUCUUCAAAGAACACGUUAAAUAGACUAGUAAAAAAACUACGUAAAGUCAAGUCAUAUAGCAAGUGUGAAAUAUUGGAUUGUUUCUUCAAUGUUGGAUCACUUCGACAAUUCGAUCUGAACUGCAUAACAAAAUAUGUUAAUUUGAUUAAAUCCAAGAUUUUCAAUUUAAAAAUAUUUAUUUUAUAGAGAAUUUUUUAUUUUAUUAUUAUUAUUAUUAUUUUUAUGCCCAACUGAUUUGUUGCCCAUCCAUCAUUAGUCUGACUUGUCCAUCUAAAUGGGCUUUGGCCAUGGGGUACAGAGGAAAUUAUGCCACGUAUCUACUAUUUAAUAAAUGUUUGUAAUAUACUUUUCAACAUUUUUUUAAACCAUAUAUACUGUUUUUAUAUAGCACCCAUUAGAUAACAAUUUUUUCCCUCAAAAAUUGAUUUUUUACGAUUAUUUUACUAUUUCAGUCGUCAUUUUUUGCUUCUUCAAUCAUAGGUGGGGCUCACUUUUCCCCUUAACACUCAAAAAAUAAAUUCUCAUGAUCACUACCAAACAUGCCCAUAGUAAAAAUAGAAUGUGAAAAAAGUAAACAAAUAAUAAGUUAUUCAUUACCUAACUAAGAUUACUCUAAUAAACAUGCCCUUAUUAUGUCAAACUAAAGAACAAAAUCACUAAAUUAGUGUUGUUUCAUAUUCCACGUCCAAAAUCCCAAAAUUAUAUUAAAACAUACAUGGGGUUAUAAUGAAAUCUCGACAGUAUUUUCGUCGAACAAUAUAUGUAUUGAUCGCCUUAGAAGAUUAAUAUGAUUCAACGUUUGUGUUUUCGAUGUAGUAAUAUUUUCUGUAUUCAAACCGACUUGUAAUGAAUGUGUACAUUCAUCACACACACACACACACACACAUACAUACACAUACAUACAUACAUAGAUAUAUACAUACAUAUAUAUAUAUAUAUAUAUAUAUAUAUAUAUAUAUUUUAAUUAAAUUCUGUUUAUGGAAGGACUUAGAAUGAGGCAAUUUAAGUUUACAUCGGUUACAAAUUCUAGUUUGGAAUUUAAUUUUGGGAGCUAGUAUUUUAAACAUAUUUAAUCAUCAAUAUAGUAUUUUUAGUUAAUAUUAUCAUGACAUGGUAAGAUGUGAAUUAAUAUUUUGUAUUGAUGUAUAUAUGUAUUUUUCCGUAAUGUACAAUUACUGGUACCAAUAAACGCAGUCUAUACCCAAUUGGAAUAAGCAAAUCAUAUAACCAAACAAAACCUAGGACAACACAAUCCAAACACAGCACCUCUUGGCCUCACUGAAAUUCUCGAAUUAAUUGUUUCAAUGGUUAUCGAACUUAGGUUCAUAUCUUUAAUUUGGUCACCGAAAUUAAAAUAUCGAGUUUUGACAACUGAACUUAGGUCCAUAUUUUCGAUUGCUCAUUGAAGAUUAGCGACUAUUGGAACAAUUAACUCGAAAUUCUCUCCCAUUUUGCCUCCUCAUAUAUAAUAGUCUCAGUUGCCAACUCCCAACUUCUGUCGCCGUUGCCUCUACCUCCUCUUUCCCAUCCGCCGGCACAUAGGGAAAGCACACACUAGAAUGGGCCAUGUAAUCAGGGCACAGCGUAAGAGAGUAGGUUCUGUUUUCAAGUCCCACACCCACCACCACAAGGGCUUGGCCCGUUUCCGCUCCCUCUACUUCAACGAGCGCAAUGGGUACAUUAAGGGUGUUGUGACAGAGAUAAUCCAUGACCUUGGGCGUGGCGGCCCACUGGCCCGUGUCACCUUCUAGCACCAUUUCCGAUACAAGCACCAAAAGGAGCUCUUUGUCGCCGCUGAGGGAAUAUACACCGGCCAGUUUCUCUACUGUAACAAGAAGGCCAACCUCGUCGUUGGCAAUGUUUUGCCCCUUUGAUCCAUCCCUGAAGGUGUUGUUGUUUGCAAUGUUGAGCACCAUGUUGGUGAUCGACUUAAGAAAUCAACUAAAACUUAACACUAAAAUUAUUUUUUAAAAAUUACUCAAAAAAUUAGUAUUAAAAAUAGUAGAGCAUUAAUUGAACUCAUAGCCAUAAAUAAUAAACUCUUCAAAUAGCAAUUAGACCAAAGGAAUGUCAAGCAUCAAGAACCUAUGUUUUAUCAAUACAUUGUCCUCCGUUAUAUCAAAUAUUCCGUUAAAAAUUUAAUGGAUUUCAAUUGAGUAGCCGAAUGAAACAAACAGAAAGAAUUCUUUGAAAAAAAUUGUAAAGAUGAGUGAAUAAUAUGGAAUUUCUCUAUAAAUUGAGUAGUAUGUUUAACCCCCUAAACAUUUGUGUCAUUCUUAAUGUAUUUUGAACUUAUGGUGCAUCUAAUUGCUCACAUGAAAUUUGUAUGGAAAGAAAAUAAAUUUUAGAUAAUUGAAUUGCCUAUAACUUAUUUGGAUGGAAAUUACUAAUUAAAUGUGUUUGAUUGAUUUAGUUUUCAAUCUAGAAAAAUAAUAUAUUUGUCCAUCUUUUAUUUGUAGGCAAAUGAGAGAGAGUUGAUAAAAUAAGACUUAAAAGAUAGAAACGGAGAGUGAAUUAUCUAGAAAAUAAAAAUCGCUCCUUCUUAAGAGAAAAUAUUUUUCUUGUUUUUGAGAAAAAUAUGACCACGUGACCAAAAGUUGGAAAAUAUUUUCUAUGGAAAAAAUUGUUAGUCAAACAUUCAAGAGUAGGAAUUUGAAUGGGAAAAAUGACAUUUUCAAAAUAAUAUAACGCACUUUUAAAUAAAUUGUAGAUGAUAUAAUUAAGUUUCCUAACUGAAUCCAAUAAAAUAGCCUUCGUUGGGGCCUAGAUUCUUAUCAAUGGAAGACUCCAGUGAAGAGUAUAAUUAUGAUAUUUUCUGUGUCUGUGAUUAUGUCUUUGCUCAAGCCCCAAGAUCCCAAGAAUUAUACAAAGAAUGCAUACUUUAUUUAGCUAAUUGGAAGCUUGUUUGUUUGUAAACAAUUUUUUUGUCGUUGUAAUGUUUGGUACUAUCUAAUCCUCUUUAAUGCUGCAUGUCAAAUAUGUUCUGAUUAUUAAAAAAAAAAAUCAUGUGGAAUGAAAAAGAGACCAUAGAUGUUGGGAAGAUUAGCAUUUCUGAUCUAAUUAGAAAAUCUGAUUCCAAAUCUUCACAGCCCUGUUAACGUACAAUUAAUAAGGCCGAAUUAAGUUACAAAUAGGACUGUGAUCUUCUUUGGAAGUUUAUCUUUUCUUGAAUCCACCUGCAUUAUUGCCAAAGCAUGCAUAAUUUCAAAAGAAAAUAAAAGGGAUUAUAGUAAAGAAUAAUAAAAAAAUUGGGACAGAAAAAUUAUUUGAAAUAUUAUGUUUUCUCUAAUACUAACACUAUAAAACUUUAAACUAAAAAAAAAAAAAAAAUGGUAAGCACAGAAUUUGUAUGGAAUGAAAAUAUGUUCUAUGCAAUUGAAAAAGGUAUAAAGCUGCAUUGUCUCCCUGUUGAAAACCUGUAACAGAUUUCUUGUACAUGUAGUGCAGUUCUUGAAAAAGAAAAGGUAAAUGUGAGAGAGAGAGCGAAUUGCCUCGAAAAUAAAACCACACUCCUCCCUAAAAAAAAAUGAUUUCAUUAAUUUUGAGGAAAAUAUGAUCACGUAAUCAACUUUUGAAAAAUAUUUUUCAAGAAAAAUUGUCAAUUUAACAUCCACAAAUAGGAACUUGAGUGAAAAAAUGACAUUUUUCAUGAAAAAUAAAACCAAUAGAACACACCUUAAAAAAAAAAAAAGAAGAAUCCAAUUAAAAUCAGUAGUACUAGUAACCUAAUUCGCUAGUCAUUGUUCUAGCAAAUGCUACAAGCAGACAAUGGUCUUUUUUGGCAUAUACAUAAAGAUCUAAAUACCAUAAAGAAAAGAAAAAAGUGACUUACUUUUUGAAUUACAAUCCGGUGGAUCUUCAAAGAGAGAGAGUGAAAGUUGCUUGUGAGCAACACUAACGUCAAAAAGUAUGAGACCUGAAGUGGGAUCAUUUACAAUGAUUUCUUUGACCGGAAGCCAUAGAAAAAGCUCUUCUUGUUAAAGCCCUUCAACUCCAGUAAGACUGCCAUAUGUAAGAUUUGCUCUCACAGCCCUAUCAGACAAAGCCAUGGUAUCAAAUUUGGUCAAGCAUGGCCAUUCAAGAAACACUUCAAGAAAGCCGGAUUCUGACUCGGUGUAGGACUUUAUGUCCUUCGGGGAGAGGCCUGCUGGUAACCCUCUGGAUAUGAGGAGGCCAUGGAUGGAGGAGUGAGAAAGAGGAAGAGAGAGAAAGACUCAAAGUAAAGGAGCGAGGAAGAGAUUUUGAAAGGAAGCCAUGAAUAAUGUGUAAUGGUAAAAGGAUUUUGAGAGUGGAAAGGGUUUAAGGGGAAAUGUGGAGGGAGUUUUAAGGUUGUUUUACUAUGUUGCCCUGGAAAAUAUGAUUGGUUUGAAUUUUUGGAAUACUUUAGUUAAAUUUGAUCAUUCCAUAAGACCACACCGUAGCAUUCUUGAUGUCGGUUGAGUGAAGAGGAGGACAGUAAAUUGUACAUUUUAUGUCACAUAACUCAUGUUAAUUUGUAAAAGUAAAACACAAAAAGUGAUAUAAACUAUAUUAAAAACAAUGGUUUGAGGUCCAAAGGUCAUAUCUAGCGCUCCAUCAAAUUUGCACCAUUUUGUACCAAAUUUUACACCAAACUAAAAUUCAUCUCCAAUAAUUACAUCGACAAUUACACCAAUGAACAGUAUUUAAUCAUUUUCUUCCCUUUUUUUUAUUCUUUAUAAUAUAUUUAUCAGAAAAUAUUAUUUAUAUAAUUAUUUUAUAAAUACAUAAAUUACUAAAUAAAUAAUUACGUUAAAUUACGGAAAAGAUUAAAUUUAUUAAUAAAUCAUGUUUGUUAUAUUUUAAAUUUUUUUCUUCUUUUAAUUAAUUUAUUAAUUAUUAUUUCUUACAUUUAAAAUAAAUUUUAAAUGCACAUAAUAAUAAUAAUAAUAAUAAUAAUAAUAAUAAUAAUAAUAAUAAUAAUUUAUUGUAUUAAAAAAUAUAUAACACAAAUAACACAAAUACCCUUAAUCAAUUUAUUUGGAAAGGAAAACAGUAAAAAUAACUUUGACACUUUGCACCAAAUGGUGCAAAGUGAAUAGUGUUGUAUCAAAUAUAGUGCAACACUACUCACCUUGCACCAUUUGACAUCAAAAUGGUGCAAAAUUUGGUGUUACACAGGGUCGGUCCUGUGAUUGUCGGGACUCGAGGCGAAUUCCAUAAAUUAGGCCCCGGCGAAAUCAACGUAAAUGUAAAAUUCAACAGUAUAUUAUACGACCUAUUGCUAACUUAAAACUAACAUUUAAAUAACAACUAGAUAUAUUAUAAAAAUGAUUUAUAUUAUAAAAUAACAAAACCAAAGAUUUAAUCAUAGAGUUAAUGAACUUGUGCCAAGUGUGGAAGUGCGGAUUAAGAAAUCAGCAUAGUUGACUAAAGAUUUAUUAUCAAUUAAAAUUAAACAAAAAUAUACAUAUAGAUUAAAAUACGACUUUCCAUCCCUUUUAAAGCAGAUUUAGAAUGAAAGAAUUAUAAAAUGUAGUAAUAUCUUCGUAAAGUUUUUGUACAAAAAUAAGACAAUGACAUGGAUUUAACAAAUAAAAUCACAUAAAUAUCUAUCUUCACAAAGUUUUUGUACAAAAAUAAGACAAUGACGUCAAUAUUUAUAGACACCUAUUUAUAAAAUAUAAAUUCAUCAAAUUCCACAUCAUUUUCAAGAAAAUAAACCUCAAAUUUAACUAUUUUAGAUCUUAUCUUCAAUAAAUUUACAUUAAAUCCCACACCAUUGGAUUUGGCCUGCUUUGCCUUGUUUUGGGGGAAAAAAAGCAUGGGCUGAAAUGAGGCCCCUUAUGGUCUUAGGCCUGAGGUGAGAGCCUCAUUUGCCUCGCCUCAUGACUGGCCAUGGUGUUACAUUGGAGGUAUUUUGCACCUUUUUUGGUGCAUUUGGUGUUUUGGGAUAAGCAUUGGAGAUGCUCUAAGUGGUAGUAUACACUUAGGCUGACGAGCUAAAAAGGUCAACCGAUAGCAACUUUCAAAUUUUUGAAUUGGAAAAAUGAAAUAGGUGAAAUUGAUGAACUAUGAUAAAAGAAUAAAUUAACAAAAAAUGGCCUUAAUGAAAAGUCAAACGCAACAUAAAAGUUGCCCCCUCCAAAAGAAAAGAGCACCAACUUUGACAAUCAGCAAUAGGGAUGGUAAAAAAACCCAAACCCAAAAUUCGCGGGGUCCCGCCCCGAACAGGGCGGGUAAUACCCGCUUAAUUGGGAAUGGGUUGGGUAUGGAAUGGGAGACUUAGACCCGACUCGGGUAUGGGGUGGGGACGGGUAACAAGGCACCCACCCCACACUCGCUCCAUUUAAUCUUUAAAAAUUAAAACUAAAAAAGAAUAAGUCUGAAGUUAAGAUGCCAACUGCCAAGCCGAACAUCAUUUGUAAUUGUAACUCCUAAGUGGCCCACUUCCUAGGCUUUAGUUUCCCGCUAAGCCAUAAGGCAAUAAAUAAAACCUACAGUAGCCACGUUACCCAUCUGCCAUCAUUUAGUGAUUAGGGUUGCCGACUUGCAGUUACCGUGACUUCUUCACAUCAUCUCCCACCGGCCACUCAGAGUCUCAAUCACUCUCGUGUCUCUCACUGUCGCUCAAGUUUGACCUAGGUAAUUUGACAAUAUCUCAAGCCCUUCAUCUUCUCCAAUCUCCAUGCUAUCUUCUCUAGGUUAGAAUGUUGGUACAGUAAUUUUUUUGCAUGGGACAAAUGACUUAAUCUCUGUCUCUCUAUUUCUCAAUACAAUUAUUGUAUCCACAGAGAUUGAGCUCCUCUAUAUUAACAAAUUAACUUUCUUGGAAGUAACUAUCGGACUGCAAAUAGUUGCAUAUUACUUAAGUUUCUGAUAUGAAAGGUCGAAGACAAUUUGUUAUAAAGAAUUAAAGAUAAUAAGAGAACAAUGAUUGAAUUCACCUGUGUUUUGGCUGAAUAUGAUCCUCUAGCAAAUAUGCUAGACGAGGUUGUCUCCUCGGGCAUCUCAUGUGUAUAAGGUUCUGAUUGAGGGCUGAAGGUUCCAAUUAAUUCUUUGGUACUGUCCACUGAAAUACUGUUCGUGAAAGGGUAAAUUUUAUCAAAAACUUCAACAAGUCCAUAUAUAUUCAAUUAGAAACACAUAAUUUGAGGAAAGAGAACCUUUGAUGCCAGUUUUCCAAAAAGUGUUCCUCUACUUGAGGCCUGAAACAAUAUUGUUGUUGACUUGGAAUGUAAAUUUAAGGCUAUAACGAAUACCCUCUUUCUAUUUUCAGAUGCCUGGAUUACAGCAUUAUACAUCCAUACCGAGCAUUGGAAGUACUUCAGCAUGAUCAAGUGAUAAUCCAUCCCAUGAAGACUUACCUAAUCAUAUAAAUACACAACAAGAUCCAAUAGACUUGUGUGAUGAGGAAGAGGAUAGUAGACAAGGUAAGAAAAGAAAUUGACUUUGGUAGUAUGGAACCACUUCAAAAAAAGGUCAUUAAGGGAGAAGAAAGGCAAUUUGUAACUAUUGUGAAAGAAAACUAGGGGCUAAAAGUAAGAAUGGGACAAAACAUUUGCACGAACAUAUGAGAUGUCCUCGUCGAAAUCAAAAAAAUAUUAAGCAAGCAAUAUUGAAUCCAUUGAAGGAAGCAUGUGGAAGGGUUUCAUUGGGUACUUACUCUUUUGAUCAAGAUAAUGCUUAGAAAGAACUUGGAAAAAUGAUAAUCUUGCAUGAGUAUCCUCUUUCGAUGGUUGAGCACAUUGGAUUUAAAAGAUUCACGAAUACUUUACAACCAUUAUUUAAGAAUAUUUCUCGUAACACUAUAAAGAAUGAUAUUUUGAAAAUUUAUGAUUGUGAGAAAUUGAAAGUGAUGAGCUUAUUGGAGAGGAACAAUAGCAAAAUUGCAGUCACUACAAACACGUAAACUUCCAAUUAGAAUAAAAGAUUCAUGACCAUCACCGCACAUUUUAUAGAUGAUGCUUGGAAACUUCAAAGUCGUAUUAUGAGGUACUUAUCUUGUAUGAAGUUAAUUUAGCUUAUUGUUAUAUAAUACUUAAAUUAAUUUUUGUUGUAUUAAUGUUAUUUUUAUAUAUUGGAGACAUGUUCAUAUAUGUACCGUGUCCGCACAUGUUUGUGGCAUUGAGUAUAUCGUUGAUGGAUUGCUUAUUGGAUUGGAAUAUUGAUUAUAAGUUGUCUACUUUGAGCAUCGAUAAUUGUACUACAAAUGAUGCCAUAAUCAAUAUUCUUUUAGAUAAACUUUCUCGUAGCUCACUUCUGCUGAAUGGUGAAUUUUUUCAUAUGCGUUGUUGUGCACACAUAUUGAACUUGAUAGUUAAAGAUGGUUUAGAGAUCAUUAGCUGGAGUGUUGAGAAAAUUCGUGAUACUGUUGCAUAUUGAACAGCAACUCCAAAACGAUUAGAGAAAUUUGAGACUUCAGCACGUCAAUUGAAAAUUUCUUGUUCCAAAAAGUUAGCACUAGAUUGCAAAACGAGGUGGAACUCUACCUAUUUAAUGCUUCACGGUGCUUUACAAUAUAUGGAUGUUUUUCCUCGACUAAAGCAACGUGAGACACAAUAUAAAUGCUUGCCUAGUGAUGCAUAUUGGAAUUUGGCGGCGAAAGAGAUAUGUGAAAGGUUGGAGGUGUUUUUGAAAAGACUGAAAUAUUUUCUGGGACCAAGUACCCAACAUCCAUUUUUUAAUUUUUCUUAUAUUUGUGAGAUAAAGUUGUCAAUUUAUGAUUGGAUGAAAUCUCCUUAUGAUGAAAUCAGAAUGAUGGCUUUAAGUAUGAUUGACAAGUUUGAAAAAUAUUGGAGUGAGAUUUAUGGAAUUUUGGCAGUAGCUAGUGUGUUGGAUCCAAGAUUUAAAUUUUCGAAUCUUGAGAUUCAAAAUAUUAGAAGAUUUUGUCAAAAACUACUAAAUGAGUACAAAAUAAAACAUGGAUCAAGUGGUAAUAUGAUUGAAUCUUCAAACAGAACUUAGAUAAUUACUAAUAUGAGCAAAAAGGAUCGGUUGCCACAAUUUGAUUUAUUUGGUUCUAAUAUGACUAGUAUAAUGGUAUGAAAUCAGAGCUUGACACUUUCUUAGACGAGCCCGUACUGCCUAGAUCAAUUGAUUUUGAUAUAUUGGCAUGGUGAAAUACAAAUUCAAUAAAAUAUCCUCUUUUGGCAAAAGUUGCAAGAGAUAUUUUAGCCAUUCCAAUAUCUAUUGUGGCGUCAGAGUCUGCAUUCAGUACCGGUGGUAGAUUUGUUAGUCCACACAGAAAUAGGCUUCAUCCAAAAACUUUGGAAGCUUUAAUGUGUGCUCAAGAUCGGUUAUGGUCUGACAUUCAUGGUACGAUAAAUAUAACUAUAUAUGUUUUUUUUUAUAAUUGUUAUUUAUGUUAUUUCUUUAUUACUAACUAGUUUUAUUUUUUGAUAGAACAUUCAUUACCUACAUCAUAUUCUAGAUGCUGUACAAAAUUAAGUGACAUGGAUAUUGAAGAGGAGGUAAAUUGUUUUCAUUCAAAUGGACUUGAGUAAUAAAUAGUUAGAUAUAUCAUUUGUCUAACUAAUACACUUCUUCAGUCACCAAUUUUUAAGGAGCUAGAUAUAGACAUUUCAGAAGAAGAUGUUAGCUCUUGAAGAUCUACAACAUGAAGUGUUGCAUUAUGCUAUGUUUCUCUACAAGCUACGUUGUAAUUUAUCCAAUAAUUUGCACAAUUAGAAUAUAUUGGAUGUAUUUUUAGUUGAGUGAAUGUAUUGUUUGUGGAUUUAAGUUAUGGUGAAAGACAAUUGUUUUGGCAUUGGUGAUUUGAUUUUCAUUUCAAGAUUGAGAAGCUAUUUGACGUUGAACGGUUCACAAUAUUGCUUGAUGAAUUCCUUCAAUUUUACUACAGCUCUUCCUCUGUUGUUGUAUAACAAGGAUUAUGUUAAACUUCAAGUUCUCAAAGUUUUUGAGAAGAGUAAGGAGAAUUGGCAUAAUGUUUGUCAAAAUAUUAUAUUAUUACAAAAGGUACUAAACUUAAAAUAUAUUAAAAACUAAAUUAAAAUGAGGCAGUAAAUGAGUAGAGACCUUGCCCCGCCCCGCCCCGCCCCGCCCCGCUCCGCUCUCACCCUACUCCCAACUGGUCCCCGACUUAAAUGGGUAUGGGGCGGGACACUAUCUAGUGGGGCAGGGUGGGAGAAGUUUCCCCGACCCAUACCCACCCCGUUGCUAUCCCUAAUCAGCAAUAUCACAAUGAUAUAAUUAUCAUUUUUAUAUUAUUUAGCUGAAUUAGAAUUUUUUUAUUGAUAAGAAUAGAGAGUUUAGCUAAAUUUUAGGAGGAAUUUUGCUAAAAAGUAUGAUUUUGUAUAAAGAGGGGGCCCAAAUUUUUGUAAUCAUCAUUGAGGCCACUAAGAGAGCAUGCUAUAACGGUCAUCGGAGCACCAAUUUGAUUAUUUAAUAGGCUUAUAGAAGGUUUGCCUUAAGCUUUUGAAGUUCUUAUAAUGUCAUCUCCAACGCUGCACUAAAAUUUGCACCAAACUAAAAUUUACCUCCAAUCAUUACACAAAAAAUUACAUUAAAUGAGCUGUUUUUAACCAUUUUCUUCCCCUUUUUUUAUUCUUAGUAAUUUAUUUAUUUGAAAUAUUAUUUAUUUAAUUAUUUUAUAAAAACAUAAAUUACUAAAUAAAUUAUUAAGUUAAAUUACAAAAAAGAUUAAAUUCAUUAAUAAAUAUAAAAAAUAUAGUACAAUUAACAAAAACACUACAACAGCGAAAAUAUUAAAUUAUGCCAUUAAAAAAUAGUGCAAUGCAAUUUGAAUUUGGAUAUUACGAUAUUAAUAUUUUUUAUAUUAAUUCACUAAUUAUUAGUUUUUACAUUUAAAAAUUAUUUUAAAUGCAAAUAAUAAUAAUAAUAAUAAUAAUAACAAUAAUAAUAAUUUAUUGUAUUAAAAAAUAUAUAGCACAAAUACCCUUAAUCAAUUUAUUUGGAAAAUGAUAAGAAAUGGUAAAAAAGACUUUAUACACUUUGCACCAUUUUGGUGUAAAAUUGUGUAAAGUAUAAUGUUGCAUUGGAGCUCUUUUGCAACAAAAAAACGGUGCAUUUUGGUGUUUUGGGUCUCACAUUAGAGAUGGUCUAGGUACCCGAUUUGAGAAAUCAUUCUGGUCAAUAGGUUGGGUUAUGCAAAGUUGUGUUUCUCAAAACUCAAAAGUGCAUGAACUUCUUGAUCCUCCACUUCCUAAUCACGAGUUCGACUCAACCACAAAUCUUUUGAAAGGGACCAAAUGUAAAUGUAAACGAAAAGUAAUAUGAAGAAAUAGACUUGAAUCACAUUUAUACUAGGAUUUUUCCGCCUUUUUAAAGAUACAAAAAUUUACCUAUCACUUAAGGGCAUGUUUGAUAGGCAUGAAUUUCCCAUGGAAAAUGGAAUUCAAAUUCCAACUUCCACUUUUUGGCUAUUUGAUAGGUUUUUUUUUCAUGAAACUGAUUUUCUUGGUUUUUUCGAAAAGGGGACUUUUUUUGGUUUUCUAGGCUACUGUUCCUCAUUUAUUAUUAUUAUUAUUAUUAUUAUUACUAUUAUUAUUAUUAUUAUUAUUAUUAUUAUUAUUAUUAUUAUUAUUUGCAAUGGAAAGAAAUUCUAUCCUUAAUUGUAAAAUUUUUUUUCUUUUAAUUGAUAAUUUUCAUGUAAAACAAAGAAAAACAAAUAUCAAAAGAUAGAUGAUUUUCUUGAUUUUUUUUGACAUUAGAAACAAAUUUUAUCCCUAAUACCAGUAAAUUAUACUUCUUUAAUUGUCAAUUUUCAUAUAAAACAAAACCAAAUGAAUACCCAAAAAUAUUUUUAUUUCAACAUUUUUCACGUGAAAAAUUAUACCAAUCAAACACAAUGAUUAACAUUAAUUCUCAAUAAAACAAUUUUUGGGUAAUUCAAUUCCAUGGAAUUCGUUUUUUUUCCACAUAAAUUUCAUUUUUACAAUCAAACGGAUCCUUAACUUAUAUGUAAGAUUUCACAUUUUAAUCUUGUAUAUAUUUUCUAUGCUAAUUUGAAUGCUUUAUUAAUAUAAAUAAUUAGUAGCUCAAAAUAAAACAAAGCAUUAAACCUCUAGUCUAAAAAUAUGAAGUUGAAAUUGAUCAAACACUUGACAGUAUUUUCUAUGUUGAUUAACUCCAUAAUCAAGUUUAUGUAAUGAAUCAUGUUCAAUGUACAAAAUAGCUAACUCAUUCAAUCUUUUUUGUGAUGUAAUUCAUUUAUCAAAUGCUAAAAAAAAUAUGCAGUACAAUUCAAAACUAUGAUAAUUUUAUAAAAAAUUAAACAUGAUAUAGACUAAUGAACACUACAAUUUCAAGAAUAAUGAAAAAGUUUGAGCAUAUCAAGAAUCAAGAUCAUAAUGUUUUUUAGGUGAAGGAAUACAUAAUUUUCAAUAAUCAUCUAAAAAACACAAGUAUCAACUAUAUAUAUAAACCAUGAAAAAAAAAAGACUUGUGUUCAAUUAUGUAUGCAAAAUGGAGAAGAUCAUCAGAAUUAAAGAAGCAAAUAUAUCCCAAAAUAAAUAAAUAUAAACCCUCCUAACAUAUUACUGGUAUUACAAAUACAAAUAAAAAGACAAAAGUACAACCUUCUUAAAGAUAUGCUCACCAUAGAGUCCUCACCAAUUAAUAAGUAAAAAUAUCAAAACCAACUCAAAAAAGAAUAUCAAUAUAAUACCAUAAACGGUAUAUUAAUCAAAAUUGAUGCUUUGAUUGCAAAUAUUUAAUUGUAAUUGAAAGAUUUAUUACUUUGAUUACAUAAUCUUAAAGUCUUUGGUGUUUUCAGUAGUAGAAAUGGGAAAAAAAAGGGGGGGGGGGGGGGGGUCAACAGUAGUAGAAAUGGGAAAAAGGGCCCCGAGAGGGGGGUGGGUGCUUAGGUUGGAUUUUAUUUUGAUCUUUCCUUCACUAUUUUUUUAAUAGAACUAUUCAUUAUUAAAAAGGGGAAAAUUAAAAUAAUAUAAAUUUCAAAAUUUUGGGACCUUGCAUAUUACGGGCUUUGGUGACUGCUCAGAUGAUUUCAUCGUUGAGCCGACCAUGACAGUAGAAUUUAUCCUUUUUCUUGUUUAGAAUAUUACUUUUUGUUAUUUUUUUUAUAAUAAUUCUACACAGUAUUACGAGUGUUUAACAUCAAUAUAUAUCGCAACAUAACUACAUUAAAUUUUAGAUUCAAUAAAAUUUAAGGAUAUGGUAUAAAUUAUUUUUGGACCUAGCAUUUAAUAAUUUUUAUCUACUAGUUUAUGGAAAUACCAAGUAAAAUAAAUGGGGAAUCUCAUACUUUUGCUUUCUUUCUUUCCACUACCAAGUACCAUCCAUUUCUCUCGUAUCUCCAAUCCUUUAACUCCACCUUCGUCCCUAUUUUAAAUGGUCGAGAUCGAUCGCUGAUUAAAAAAAUUGGAGACUUUGCCAAUGAAGAAAAGAAAGUACAAAUCAAUCAAUUUUGUGCAAAUAAAAAAAUUGAUAUUAUUUUAAUUUUUCUUUCACCGUCCACGUUCUAUGACGUUACUUGUUACCUUACCCAUUAUUUAGUACAAGUUCAGAGUCUCUUAUCGAGAAACACUCUAGUGAUAAGGUAUGGGAGGCGCCGGAGCGAUGAAGGCCGCGUUGAAGGUGACUAGGACAUUGCCGAUGAAUGGAGCCAGGCGGCUCACGGUAGAGAACCAUCCGGUCUCGGUUGCUGCCGUGUCCACCCGCUCAUCGGCAGCGAUGGACUCACCACUGAUGGCUUCUUCGUCACAAUCGAAGGAGGAGCUGAGGGUUACGGCCGGUGAGCCUUUGCCUAGGGUUAUUUUUGUCGGCCUGCCCACUCUUCAGGAAGCAAGAGAAGCAACUUCUGAACUAUCGCACGCAGGCCAAUUGUAUGUUAUAGAUGAUUUUCGAUUUACAAAAUUAGAUUCUUACCGUUUUAUUGAAUUUCAUCUUCUCCCUUUAGUCAAUUCUUGCGAAUAGAUUAGUCAAGCCUUGGUUCUCAGAGGAUGUGAAUAAGUGAAUUCUACCUGGUUUUGAUUAUCUAUUUAUUAUUUGAAACUUUUGAGGGUUCUACCUUAAAUUUUCAGAUUUCUAGCUUCAUCUAAUCCUGUUCGACAUGAGGACAUGACUGUAGGAGAUCAACAUCCAAACUCAUCGCUGCGGUCAAACUCACAUUUGUCUACGGGUGCUAUUCAAGCAUUUCAGCUUCUAAAUCAAAGCCCACGAGUUCAGGUUUUUCUGCUGACACCUCUCGUUUUGACUAGAAAGUUCGAAUAGGUACUUACAGUAAGUGUAAUGAUCCAACAUUUGUGUUCAAGUAUUAUUGUCUGUUUCGAAAGAGUCUAUAUCCAUCAAAUCUCUCAUAGAUAUUCGUGCCCUCCCAGAGUCUUUGAGAACUUAUCAAUAAAUCAAUGGAAAUCUGGGUCUGUGCUUCACCAUAGUCCUAUUAGAAUUGCUCUAUCCCCAAGGUCACCCUCAAGAGUAUCAUUCGAGGCCCCAUCUUCUUAGCCCAUAUUUAGUGGGGAUUAAAGCCGAUUUUUUAGUAAAUUUUGAUAAAAAUUGAUGAAUUAUAUUGUUAAAAAGUUGUGAAUCUCAUAGAAACAUUGACUUAAAUUAAAACCUGAUAUCCGUCUCAUGAGAGACUUAAGUUGAAUUUUGGUACCAAUUGAGCAAGUUGUUCAAUUGCUUUAUGACAUAUUUAAGUUGAAUCAUGUACCAAUUGAACAAAUUGCUUAAUCGCUUUAUGAGAAUUUUAAGUUAAAACCCUGUACAAACUGGGUAAGUUACUCAAUUGAUAAUAUGAAAGCUAAAAGAUUUGAAUGUAGAAGUUCGGGUCGUUACAAAAAACGUUUGAGAUUUUAAGACAUCUCGUACUAUUGAGAAGUACUAGAAACAAUAUAUUUUAUUAUGUUAACUUCUUGUGCUAGAAUGUUGUUUCAUCUAUUGUUGCUGAUUCAAAUGUGUGGAAUGCUGUGAUACAAAACCAAGAUUUUCAGGAUUUGCUCCAAUCACGCAGGAGUCUCGGUAAGAAAUUCGAUUAUGUAUUUGUGGUAUUCAUCCCAUGCUGCUGUAGAAGAUAUGCACAUAACUCCUUACUGUGUUGCUUUUGGCAGCUACUACUAUUCUCGAUCAGCCGUCUCUGGGUACAGUCGAUAAUGAUAUCUCAUUUGGGUCGAUUACAAAUUUUUUGCAGAUGAUGAAGGGGAUUGUGGUGGACGUGAUGGAUUGGAUGAUCCAUUGGUCCAUAUUGUUCAAGAAUUUAACUGAAGCUGAUCGAAUGCCUCAAAAUGACAAUGGAAGUACAAGAUUUGACUCUUCAAAUAAUUUGUUAAAAUCAAUCAUUGGGUUGGUAAUCUCGGUGAUAAUGAUGAUUUUGAUGAAACGUAAUAAAUAAUCUCUCUUCGAGUUGUAUAUAUUCGUCGAACUUUCCAUGCUUCCAUGUAUUACGAACUCUUGAAUUAGCAAUGGCUCUUGAAUUGCAUGACAUCAGGAGAAUUAUCUGUUUGUCUUUUUGUGAAUUGUCGCAGUUGCUUUUUA
rnacentral:lncRNA from 1 species